GCAUCGCUAGCUCAGUGGCAGAGUGGUGGGGCGUUGGCUCAUGCAACUUGGGUUCGAGCCCCGAUCGAUGCG